UACGUAGGGUGCAAGCGUUAAUCGGAAUUACUGGGCGUAAAGCGUGCGCAGGCGGUUGUGCAAGACAGAUGUGAAAUCCCCGGGCUUAACCUGGGAACUGCAUUUGUGACUGCAUGGCUGGAGUGCGGCAGAGGGGGAUGGAAUUCCGCGUGUAGCGGUGAAAUGCGUAGAUAUCUGGAGGAACACCGGUGGCGAAGGCGGCAUCCUGGACCGACACUGACGCUGAGGAGCGAAAGCCAGGGGAGCAAACGGG
rnacentral:rRNA from 1 species